GACGGACGCUGGCGGCGUGCUUAACACAUGCAAGUCGAACGGAAAGGCCCUGCUUUUGUGGGGUGCUCGAGUGGCGAACGGGUGAGUAACACGUGAGUAACCUGCCCUUGACUUUGGGAUAACUUCAGGAAACUGGGGCUAAUACCGGAUAGGAGCUCCUGCUGCAUAGUGGGGGUUGGAAAGUUUCGGCGGUUGGGGAUGGACUCGCGGCUUAUCAGCUUGUUGGUGGGGUAGUGGCUUACCAAGGCUUUGACGGGUAGCCGGCCUGAGAGGGUGACCGGCCACAUUGGGACUGAGAUACGGCCCAGACUCCUACGGGAGGCAGCAGUGGGGAAUAUUGCACAAUGGGCGGAAGCCUGAUGCAGCAACGCCGCGUGCGGGAUGACGGCCUUCGGGUUGUAAACCGCUUUCGCCUGUGACGAAGCGUGAGUGACGGUAAUGGGUAAAGAAGCACCGGCUAACUACGUG
rnacentral:rRNA from 1 species